UACGGAGGGGGCAAGCGUUGUUCGGAAUUACUGGGUGUAAAGCGCAUGUAGGCGGCUCAAUAAGUCAGAGGUGAAAGGCUCUGGCUCAACCCUGGAAUUGCCUUUGAUACUGUUAAGCUGGAAUCUGGGAGAGGUGAGUGGAAUUUGGAGUGUAGAGGUGAAAUUCGUAGAUAUGCGAAAGAACACCAGUGGCGAAGGCGGCUCACUGGCCCGUGAUUGACGCUGAGGUGCGAAAGCGUGGGGAGCAAACAGG
rnacentral:rRNA from 1 species